rnacentral:lncRNA from 1 species
UUCUAUCAAAUUAUCCAGCUUUUGAAGGUUAUAUAUGAUUUCAUGCACUUUAAUUCUAUGGCAUGUAUAGGGACUUAGUCAAUUGGGUAUGUGUCAUUUGAUUUGGCCAAAUGUAUUAGCUCAUAAUGGAAUAGGAUUCAUUUUGUAUAUGGCCAUGAGAUAUGGCUCAUAAUGGUUAUUGGGUUGUAAACCUAUUCAUAUAUGCAUGCAUGUGCUAAAGGUUUCAUA